rnacentral:rRNA from 1 species
GCGAAACGGAAAGAGCCCAAACCAAGAAGCUUGCUUCUUGGGGUUGUAGGACACUCUAUACGGAGUUACAAAAGAAAGUUAUAAAUGAAGCGGUCUGGAAAGGCCCGCCAAAGACGGUAACAGCCCGGUAGUUGAAAUAGCUUUCCCUCCAGAGUGGAUCCUGAGUACGGCGGAACACGUGAAAUUCCGUCGGAAUCCGGGAGGACCAUCUCCCAAGGCUAAAUACUCCCUAGUGACCGAUAGUGAACCAGUACCGUGAGGGAAAGGUGAAAAGCAC